AUUUCUAGUGUCUUGGGUUGGGAAUGGCCUUACGUGAAGUCAUGGAUGCACACAAAGGAAUAAAUCCUAGUGCCCACCAAGAACUACACUCAGGUUUUUAAUAUUGAUGCCCACGAAUAUUACUCCGUUCUAAAAGAGACGGAGACUUACGUCCAUUUCCUUGCCAACAAUUUAUUAUACGAAAA
rnacentral:misc_RNA from 1 species